rnacentral:rRNA from 1 species
AGAACGAACGCUGGCGGCAUGCCUAAUACAUGCAAGUCGAACGAACACUUCGGUGUUAGUGGCGCACGGGUGCGUAACGCGUGGGAAUCUGCCCUUGGGUUCGGAACAACAGUUGGAAACGACUGCUAAUACCGGAUGAUAUCGAAAGAUCAAAGAUUUAUCGCCCAGGGAUGAGCCCGCGUAGGAUUAGCUAGUGGUGAGGUAAGCUCACCGAAGGCGACGAUCCUUCGCUGGUCUGAGAGGAUGAUCACGCCAACGACGUGGGACUGGACGACACCGGCCAGG